UGCUGUAAAAACUACAGCGUUAUUUUACAGAAGCUGACUGUAUUUUAAAUAAUACAGAAUAUUGCUGUAAAGUGCAAUGCAUUCUGGGGUCACGUGACGGAUUAACUCAAUGUACAGAAUAUUGCUGUAAAUUUCAAAUCUACAAUGGCGGGAUGAUCUUCAACAGUCGAGAUUGGGGUAGUGCGCAAAAUGAAUGAUUCACACCUGUGGUAAGUAACUUAUUACGUAUUUUUUUUUCCAUAUUUGGUAACUAUCAUACUGGUAACUUUAUAUAGAGGUAUCUAAAUUCGCGGUUCAUAUUGCUAACCCCGGAUUCAACCUCCAUCCGCGGGGACCGAAGGAGUCUUGCGGGGUUUCAGCAGCGCCGUCGCGGUAAGAUUUCAAACAUUCUCCGUCGCUAUAGCACCUGAGGACAGAAGUUGUUCAUGUUAUUUAGAGUUUUUGUUCACACCAGGAGUGAAGGCGGUAUGUGACGAGCUACAGUUCAUUGUAUUAGUAAGUUGACGGUUGUUUUUUUAAUGUUGAACAUCGCGCCCGCCGUAGACUCGGUAAAAGUUACAUGCUUCGACAGUUGGGAUACCACACUCGCUCGUGAUUAUUUUGUGUUGUAAUUCAAAUUUGCAAAUGCAGUCAUCCGUUAAAUCGAGCGCCCAAAUUAAAAUGAGUCACCAUAGCUUGAGGUAAGUCGAUGUUCACGGAGGAUAGCCCGGUAAAGUGAUUAAUGUACGUAACCAUCUAGAUAUACAGUUUAUGUAUCGGAGGCCAGCUGAGAGCUUGAGCAAAAGACGUUAGCGACACCCUCAUUGUAUAGCAGGCCUGUCUCCCAAAUAGGACCGUUGGAGGGUGGGAGUGAGACCCGUUACAAAAUACUAGUGUGACAAUUUCUUGACCGUGACAUCCCUAACGUUAGUUGGAUUACAUUUCUGUAUAAGUACGGUUUUAAGUGUAAGUUACUCUGUUUAAUUUGCUUAGAGUUUGUUUGUAGAGUCACUUAUACUAAAAUGUAGUUUAAAUGUAAAAUGCUUAAAGAUAAUUGUAUAGUCACUAUUAACUAUUACUAUUGUCACAUGUGGUAUUGUUUGUUUUAGAACACACUUGCAGGCCACUGGAUGCUGACUACUGAAGGUUAGGUUGUGUGUGACGGUGCUCAGCACAGCUUCAUGUCUGGCCUUCCCACUCUGUUCAUAGCAUGUUACAUAUUCAGGCUUGAGUACCAGGAUGGGGCAGCAUGUACUUGGAGUCCAAUGAAAGAUAUUAAUCCAGAGAGUGGAACAAGCAGCGUCAUCUAAAAUGCCAGGAUACAGAAGAAACAGGUUGCAGUGAACCCACAUGUCGCCGCUCUUCUAAACACAAUGAUGAAUAUUCAGUGUAAUCGAUGAAAAUUCCAGCUACUUGUUGUGCUCUGAUGGAUCAAGAUGUGGACCGUUUUACAGACUCACUUGGGCCUUGUUUUGCAAUGUUGUUUCAUGAUGGUAAUGUUGGUUAACGUGUUGUUUAAACAUGAGUGUUUAAAGAGCCAUGUUGGAUACUAUGAAGUUCUUACUGAAUAAAAUUAUUUCAUGUACAACAACGUACACAAUUUGUCUGUAAUGUAUUUUUGUAUCAAUUAAAAAAAAAUAAACACUGUAUAUCCAGUAUGCAAAACAUACUGGAUAUACAGUGAUUUAUGUAUUUCUUCUAAAUAAAGUAAAUUAAAAUCAAGCAAUUUGCUGUAAAAAAUACAGCAUUAUACUGUUGCUAUUCAAAAUUACAGUUUUUCCUGUAUUCUGCAAUUACAGUAAAUGGCUGUAAAUUAAAUUACAGUACUGUGGCUGUACAAUUUACAGUAACUGGCUGGCAACCCUGCUGCCAGUAGUUUACUGUAAAUUUUACAGGAUUUUUUUUACAGUGUAGUUAAUGCUAAUCCGAGGGUUUUUCUUUUACAGCAUCAAUGGAAGUCACAGUGAAUUUAUCAUCAAUCUCUUUUUUGACUGCCAUAAUCAGACUCAGUUUUUUUAUUUUGUUGAAAGUAUUGAAAACCCUAUUGUUUAGUUUUUCUGUUGCUAAAAAUAUAUUUGUGGUAGUCUCCCAUUCAGAGCUAUAGAAGUUUACCCGUUGCUGAGAAACCCGAAAAUGUGAAGGUGAAUGUUCAUUAGACGAUAAACAAAAAUAAUAUUUAGCUACUGUGUUGUUUUUAAGUGCGGUCAACAUCGAUAUGCAUUAUGCAAAUGCUAGUAUGCAGAUUUUAUUGUACAGUAAGCAGUGUCAAUGACCAUCAUCAGGCAGGCUGCAAUCUUGCUUUUUACAUUAAAGUCCCCGUGAAUGUAGAAGUUGGGAUCGCUUUUCUUCCGUAUUCUGACACAUUUCUGACUGAAAAGGAAUUUAAGUGAGAAAAUCAGUGAGCGUGGCUUGCGUUGUUCACUGCAAAUUGAUUGGAUGUGUAAAAACAGCUGUUGCCUCGAUUUUGAAAUGAAACUAGCAGCAGACUGACAGUUGAAGGGGAGGAGUUAAUGGAUGCUCCGGC